rnacentral:lncRNA from 1 species
UAGAUAUAGUAAUGGUAUAUACAGUUUAAAUUAGUGUUGUGAAUUUUGUAGCAUCACUAUGCAUUUUAUAUCCUAGAUCUAUCAUGCUCAACAUAUGUAUCUGAUCCGAUGACCAUUUCAACUUUCACCAAGGGAUGUUGUAAUUUUGGGGGAUUCUAAGAUGGCUAUUGAGUGAUGAUUCUCCCUACACUUCUCCAUUUUUUUGCUAGUAAUGCUCUUUCUUCUGUUCUUCAUUCUCUGUUAGCCACAAAUUAUGUCCUUUUGGUGUUCCUUUUUCAGAUCAUGAUACAGAUAGUGCAGUGAACUAUGUGAUAACGCAAAAAUGGCCUUAGUGAGAUUAGCCAAUUUUCAGAUGAUUUCUUCUUUCUUUCCUCUUUUGGACUAAUCCUUCUUGAUGAACCAGUAUUUUGCCUUUUCCUUUUGUUACAAUUUCAUCUUUUGUGUUUAGUGGUUUUAUAAAAUUAUCAUUUUUUAGAAGGCAAAUUUUGAGAUAUUAGGUCUCUUUUUGGUUUGAGAAUUUUUCUUCCCAUCCUCACUUGUUCUUCCAAUUACAUGCAUAAAAGCUUAUCAAACUUGACCCCCUAAAAGAAAACAUCAAUGGUGGCCCUAUGAAUGACCAUCCUAUCAUCAUUUAUGUGUUUUAAUCACAGAGCUGUGGAUUGAGCAUUAUGAUUUUGUGUAGACGGAUAUUUUAUUUUCCUCUCAUAGAAGCGAACUGAUUUUUGAGUUAUUCCUUCUGCAGCCGUAAUAAGGGUAUUGAUGAUGAAGAGGAAUAUUACAAAUGGCAACCUUGGCGAAUAAUUUGAGCCAAGCCUUCCAUUAUGGCAUCUACAGUAACGAUGACAUGUAGGAAUUUUCUCAUGUUUGCCCGGUAGUAGGAUUUGAUGUCAUUUUAAGAAUUAGGAAGAGUAAUACACAGGUUAAGGUUUGUGUUUAUCACUUUUGAAUUGUUUUUCAUUUUGACUUUAAACUCUAGGGUUCAAUAAUUUUUGUUUUAAGUCUUUAGGGUCAAUAUUUUUGAGAGUAGCAUUUAGCUUUUGAAAUAGAGUAUUUGGUUUAAUGUUCUGUCUUUCAUAGUAUAGGAAAAUUUGGUGCAUUUUCUAGGAAUUUCGUUUGGAGUGUAGUGUGUCUAAAAUUUAUGGCUUUGAAAUUAAUAUUAUGGGUUUAGUGCCUAAAGCUUAGGGUUUAUUGUUGAAUAUAUUUAGGUGCAUUUUCUAGGUUCUUCAUUUGGGGUAGAGGCUAGAUGAUUUAAAAUGUUUGUGCUUAGGGUUUAUAGUUUUUUUUUUCUUUUCUUGCACUCUAAUGGGUUUAUAGUUUAGUGCUUGGGGUUUAUCCUUUAGGGUAUCUUAAGGGUAUUUGAUUCAUUGGUUUUGACUUUAUGUUAAUUAUUUGGGUUUACUGCUUGGAGUUUAG